rnacentral:rRNA from 1 species
GAUGAACGCUGGCGGCGUGCCUAAUACAUGCAAGUCGAGCGAACGGACGAGAAGCUUGCUUCUCUGAUGUUAGCGGCGGACGGGUGAGUAACACGUGGAUAACCUACCUAUAAGACUGGGAUAACUUCGGGAAACCGGAGCUAAUACCGGAUGAUAUUUUGAACCGCAUGGUUCAAAAGUGAAAGACGGUCUUGCUGUCACUUAUAGAUGGAUCCGCGCUGCAUUAGCUAGUUGGUAAGGUAACGGCUUACCAAGGCAACGAUGCAUAGCCGACCUGAGAGGGUGACGGGCCACCAUGGAAGUGACACCGGGUCCAGACCCCUGGGGGAGGCAGAAGGUGGGAAUCUUCGCAAAGGGGGGAAAGCCGGAGGAGCCAACGCCGGGUGAGUGAUGAAGGUCUUCGGAUCGUAAAACUCUUUUUUUAGGAAAGAAAAAUUGUUAAAGUAACUGUGCCCAUUUUGACGGUACCAAAACAAAAAGCCCCGGCUAACUACGU